UACGUAGGGGCAAGCGUUAUCCGGAUUUACUGGGUGUAAAGGGCGCGCAGGCGGUAUAUCAAGUCAGCUGUCAAAGACUGGGGCUCAACCCUGGUAUGCGGUUGAAACUGAUAUGCUGGAGUGCUGUAGAGGCAAGUGGAAUUCCCAGUGUAGCGGUGAAAUGCGUAGAUAUUGGGAAGAACACCGGUGGCGAAGGCGACUUGCUGGGCAGCAACUGACGCUGAGGCGCGAAAGCCAGGGGAGCAAACGGGAUUAGAUA
rnacentral:rRNA from 1 species